CCUACGGGGGGCUGCAGUGGGGAAUAUUGGACAAUGGGCGAAAGCCUGAUCCAGCAAUACCGCGUGUGUGAAGAAGGCCUUAGGGUUGUAAAGCACUUUCAAUUGGGAGGAAAACCUACCGGUCAAUACCCGGUAGCUUGACAUUACCUUUAGAAGAAGCACCGGCUAACUCCGUGCCAGCAGCCGCGGUAAUACGGAGGGUGCGAGCGUUAAUCGGAAUUACUGGGCGUAAAGCGUGCGUAGGCGGUUCGUUAAGUCAGAUGUGAAAGCCCUGGGCUCAACCUGGGAACGGCAUUUGAAACUGGCGGACUAGAGUUUAGUAGAGGGGAGUGGAAUUUCAGGUGUAGCGGUGAAAUGCGUAGAUAUCUGAAGGAACACCAGUGGCGAAGGCGACUCCCUGGACUAGAACUGACGCUGAGGUACGAAAGCGUGGGUAGCAAACAGGAUUAGAUACCCCAGUAGUC
rnacentral:rRNA from 1 species